GCUUGCUACGAUUUAACUUAGUGGCAGACGGGUGAGUAAUGUAUAGGAAUCUACCUAGUAGUACGGAAUAAUUGUUGGAAACGGCAACUAAUACCGUAUACGCCCUACGGGGGAAAGAUUUAUUGCUAUUAGAUGAGCCUAUAUUAGAUUAGCUAGUUGGUAGGGUAAAAGCUUACCAAGGCAAUGAUCUAUAGCUGAUCUGAGAGGAUGAUCAGCCACACUGGAACUGAGAUACGGUCCAG
rnacentral:rRNA from 1 species